rnacentral:piRNA from 2 species
UCAACUCCUCCAUCUGGGAAGCUGGGCUGC